GGUUCCAUGAUGAUGUCAUCAGGCGGGGGCAUGAACGUGUCCAGUAGCAACUCGUCUUCCACCAGCGUGUUGACCAGCUCCACCAUGGAAGGUAAAGUCUCUACUGGUGAUAUUACCAUAGUUCCCAUAUAGUGAUUCCCUUCUCUGAUUCACGUCACAACACUCUCCAGGACCAUGGAACCCCAUACCACACGACGUGUAGCCUCUCUCUACUACUAACACACAGCUCACCUGGCAGAACACACACAGUCCACAUUCUGACCUGAACAUCAUGACGUGUUGCUUCUCUCUUUUCGGUUUUAUUUAAAUUACAUUUGACGUUUCCAUUUAUAAUAAAAACCUGACCCUACAAUGAGA